UAAACAUCCAUCAGACUGUACCCCGUGUACUGUCUGCUUUGGGCACCCGCUUUCUGCCCCACCCGGCAGCAGCGGUGCUUCAGAAUAUGGUGUGCAGAGUUUGCAACGACUCAACUCUUGGACCUCAACAGUCUGGGUUGGCCUGUCUGCUCGCUGCACAAUGUCUGGUGCCAGUGCUCUCAACUCCGCCUGGUGCACCCACCCAACCUCACUU
rnacentral:misc_RNA from 1 species